UGGGGGAUAUUGCACAAUGGGCGAAAGCCUGAUGCAGCGACGCCGCGUGGGGGAUGAAGGCUUUCGGGUUGUAAACCUCUUUCGCUAUCGAACAAGGCCCGCUUAGGGUGGGUUGAGGGUAGGUGGAGAAGAAGCGCCGGCUAACUACGUGCCAGCAGCCGCGGUAAUACGUAGGGCGCGAGCGUUGUCCGGAAUUAUUGGGCGUAAAGGGCUUGUAGGCGGCUUGUUGCGCCUGCUGUGAAAACGCGGGGCUUAACUUCGCGCGUGCAGUGGGUACGGGCAGGCUUGAGUGUGGUAGGGGUGACUGGAAUUCCAGGUGUAGCGGUGGAAUGCGCAGAUAUCUGGAGGAACACCGAUGGCGAAGGCAGGUCACUGGGCCAUUACUGACGCUGAGGAGCGAAAGCAUGGGUAGCGAACG
rnacentral:rRNA from 1 species